rnacentral:rRNA from 1 species
CCCUUAGAUGUUCUGGGCUGCACGCGCGCUACACUGAAGCGUUCAACGAGUAUUCACCUUGCCCGGGAGGGUUGGGUAAUCUUUUCAAAACGCUUCGUGAUGGGGAUAGAUUAUUGCAAUUAUUAAUCUUCAACGAGGAAUUCCUAGUAAGCGCGAGUCAUCAGCUCGCGUUGAUUACGUCCCUGCCCUUUGUACACACCGCCCGUCGCUACUACCGAUUGAAUGGUUUAGUGAGGACUCCUGAUUGGCGCCGCCGCCCCGGCAACGGAGCAGUGGACUGCCGAAAAGUUGUUCAAACUUGAUCAUUUAGAGGAAGUAAAAGUCGUAACA